rnacentral:tRNA from 1 species
GGGCGCUUAGCUCAGCUGGUCUAGAGCGCCGCCCUUACAAGGCGGAGGUCGAAGGUUCGAACCCCUCAGCGCCCA